rnacentral:rRNA from 1 species
GACGAACGCUGGCGGCGUGCUUAACACAUGCAAGUCGAACGGAAAGGCCCUGCUUUUGUGGGGUGCUCGAGUGGCGAACGGGUGAGUAACACGUGAGUAACCUGCCCUUGACUUUGGGAUAACUUCAGGAAACUGGGGCUAAUACCGGAUAGGAGCUCCUGCUGCAUGGUGGGGGUUGGAAUGUUUCGGCGGUUGGGGAUGGACUCGCGGCUUAUCAGCUUGUUGGUGGGGUAGUGGCUUACCAAGGCUUUGACGGGUAGCCGGCCUGAGAGGGUGACCGGCCACAUUGGGACUGAGAUACGGCCCAGACUCCUACGGGAGGCAGCAGUGGGGAAUAUUGCACAAUGGGCGGAAGCCUGAUGCAGCAACGCCGCGUGCGGGAUGACGGCCUUCGGGUGGUAAACCGCUUUCGCCUGUGACGAAGCGUGAGUGACGGUAAUGGGUAAAGAAGCACCGGCUAACUACGU